UGACGGAGUCCCCAGCAUCCACUUAGGACGUCAGAGAAAAAGGGUUAUUUGUGCCCUGAGUGCUGCUCCUGCCACUAGGAAACUGACCAGUCAGCAAGAAACAUAUGGAUUCCAGGUAGAGAGUCAGCUUGGGCUGUGGCAGUUAACUAAUGGUGGUGACAGUUGGGAGUUGGCUGGCAGCCAUCUUAGGGAGCUGUACUGACAGGAGGUGCUGUGAAACAAGGCCGGUGCGGCUGCUGUGAUUCCUAACCAGGGAGGCAGGACAGAGAGACGCAGCUCCCUGAAGUAGGGUAGAGCCGGUGGGGCAGCACUGGAAGUGAGUACGUGAGUUACAAGUCAUCCUCAACCCAGCCUCUCUGCCCUCAAAGUGCCUGAGCGACAGUCAAAGCAUCUGAGUGACAGCCAGUGGGAGGAGCAGAGACAUUGCUUUGCUAUAGCUGUAGACAGAUGGAUGAUCGGUCAGCUCACAGUGGCUAAUUACAGCGAUUUAAAGGAAUUCAAAAGGUUCUGAGAGCUGUUUUGCAGUGGUUACGUAAUGAGCUAGAACCACCAUGACAACAGAAUCAACAUUAGAUUAUCAUACAAUGCAGACUGCCGGAAACACAGGAACGCAACGUCCCUUCCAGUGUCAAUAUCUAGUUUAAGGAUCCAACUGUGAAAAUCCGAAUCGUCUACUAAAUGGAAUGCAUUCUAACACAAAUAGGAUGAAUUACUAUCCCCCUAUGGACUGUCUCCACAGUAUAGGAAAAACUGUGACACUGUUUUAAUAUAGCCCCAUGCCGGUCGGUGACUUCUGGUAUGGAAGUCCAUUUAAGUUUGGCAAAUAAAUGUAUUAAAGGAAAGAUUAUUAGCUGGGUUUUAUGAAACAACUUUGUUUAUAGCCAGAAUUAUUAUUUAUACUGUUUCUGAA